rnacentral:rRNA from 1 species
UACGUAGGGGGCGAGCGUUUGUCCGGAUUUAUUGGGCGUAAAGCGCACGUAGGCGGCUUUCUAAGUCAGGGGUGAAAUCCUGGAGCUCAACUCCAGAACUGCCUUUGAUACUGGAGAGCUUGAGUCCGGGAGAGGUGAGUGGAACUCCGAGUGUAGAGGUGAAAUUCGUAGAUAUUCGGAAGAACACCAGUGGCGAAGGCGGCUCACUGGCCCGGUACUGACGCUGAUGUGCGAAAGCGUGGGGAGCAAACAGG